rnacentral:rRNA from 1 species
UACGUAGGGUGCAAGCGUUAAUCGGAGUUACUGGGCGUAAAGCGUGCGUAGGCGGUUCGUUAAGACUGAUGUGAAAUCCCCGGGCUUAACCUGGGAACUGCAUUUGUGACUGGCGGGCUAGAGCAUGGCAGAGGGGGGUAGAAUUCCACGUGUAGCAGUGAAAUGCGUAGAGAUGUGGAGGAAUACCGAUGGCGAAGGCAGCCCCCUGGGCCAAUACUGACGCUCAUGCACGAAAGCGUGGGGAGCAAACAGG